rnacentral:rRNA from 1 species
UACGAAGGGGGCGAGCGUUGUUCGGAAUUACUGGGCGUAAAGGGCGCGCAGGCGGCUCUGAAAGUCAGAUGUGAAAGCCCCGGGCUUAACCUGGGAAUUGCAUUUGAUACUCUGGAGCUUGAGUGCGGGAGAGGAGAGUGGAAUUCCCAGUGUAGAGGUGAAAUUCGUAGAUAUUGGGAAGAACACCGGUGGCGAAGGCGGCUCUCUGGACCACAACUGACGCUGAGGCGCGAAAGCGUGGGGAGCAAACAGGG